AAUGAACGCUGGCGGCAUGCCUUACACAUGCAAGUCGAACGGCAGCAUGACCUAGCUUGCUAGGUUGAUGGCGAGUGGCGCACGGGUGAGUAAUGCAUCGGAACGUGCCUUUUAGUGGGGGAUAACGUAGCGAAAGUUACGCUAAUACCGCAUAUUCUCUGAGGAGGAAAGCAGGGGACCUUCGGGCCUUUCGCUAGAAGAGCGGCCGAUGUCGGAUUAGCUAGUUGGUGAGGUAAAGGCUCACCAAGGCAACGAUCCGUAGCGGGUCUGAGAGGAUGAUCCGCCACACUGGGACUGAGACACGGCCCAGACUCCUACGGGAGGCAGCAGUGGGGAAUUUUGGACAAUGGGCGCAAGCCUGAUCCAGCCAUGCCGCGUGAGUGAAGAAGGCCUUCGGGUUGUAAAGCUCUUUCGGCUGGGAAGAAAUCGCACCCUCUAAUACAGGGUGUGGAUGACGGUACCAGCAUAAGAAGCACCGGCUAACUACGUG
rnacentral:rRNA from 1 species